rnacentral:rRNA from 1 species
UUGAAAGGGAAACGAUUGAAGUCAGUCGUACCGGCGGGUAAUCAGCCUUUUGGGUGUGAUUAUGUGGAGCGUGAGGAGUUAAACACCCUCAUCUUUGCAUAUUCGUGCACUUUGGGUGUACUUGCUCGUGUGGUAGGUUAACAUCAAUUUUGAUCGUCAUAAAAUGAUUGGAGGAAUGUAGCUUCGAUCUCGUAUUGAAGUGUUAUAGCCUUCGGUAGAUGUGAUGAUUGGGAUUGAGGAUUGCAACGGAUACCCUUCGGGGCUACCUGUCUGAUCUCUGAAAGUUGCUCUGGUGCUGAAAGCUUGCUUAUGGUAUCAAAGUUGACGUUCAACAGGUUAGAACGGGAUAAAUUCGUUAAGGAUGUUGACGUA